AACGAACGCUGGCGGCAUGCCUAACACAUGCAAGUCGAACGAGACCUUCGGGUCUAGUGGCGCACGGGUGCGUAACGCGUGGGAACCUGCCCUUAGGUUCGGAAUAACUCUCCGAAAGGGGUGCUAAUACCGGAUAAUGUCUUCGGACCAAGGAUUUAUCGCCUUUGGAUGGGCCCGCGUUGGAUUAGCUUGUUGGUAGGGUAAAAGCCUACCAAGGCGCCGAUUCAUAGCUGGGCUGAGAGGAUGCUCAGCCACACUGAGACUAAGACACAGCCGAGACUCCUACGGGAGGCGGCAGUGGGGAAUAUUGGACCAUGGGGGAAAGCCUGAUCCAGCAAUGCCGCGUGAGUGAUGAAGGCCGUAGGGUUGUAAAGCUCUUUUAACCGGGAUGAUAAUGACAGUACCGGAAGAAUAAGCGCCGGCUAACUCCGUG
rnacentral:rRNA from 1 species